rnacentral:rRNA from 1 species
CCUACGGGGGGCAGCAGUGGGGAAUAUUGCACAAUGGGGGAAACCCUGAUGCAGCGACGCCGCGUGAGUGAAGAAGUAUUUCGGUAUGUAAAGCUCUAUCAGCAGGGAAGAAAAUGACGGUACCUGAUUAAGAAGCCCCGGCUAACUACGUGCCAGCAGCCGCGGUAAUACGUAGGGGGCAAGCGUUAUCCGGAUUUACUGGGUGUAAGGGGAGCGUAGACGGCAGCACAAGUCUGGAGUGAAAUGCCGGGGCUUAAGCCGGGAACUGCUUUGGAAACUGUGCAGCUAGAGUGCAGGAGAGGUAAGUGGAAUGUCUAGUGUAGCGGUGAAAUGCGUAGAUAUUAGGAGGAACACCAGUGGCGAAGGCGGCUUACUGGACUGUAACUGACGUUGAGGCUCGAAAGCGUGGGGAGCAAACAGGAUUAGAUACCCGAGUAGUC